UCCCUGGUGGUCCAGCGGCUAAGACUCUGCAUUCCCAAUGCAGGGGACCUCUGUUCAAUUCCUGGUCAGGGAA
rfam:TPA: Bos taurus chromosome 10, whole genome shotgun sequence.